AAAUCAACUACAUUCAUUAUAAUUUUAUAUUUUUCAUUAUAAGUACAUUGAUUUAAUAAAAGCCUAGAUAUAUUCAAUAUUUUUUAAUAAAUAUAAGAAUUUCUUAAAGUCACAUCUCCAUGGCCAUAUUAUAAUUAAUUAAGUCCAAUAUCUCUUCAUUCAAUGUAAUAUGCUUAAGACUAUAGCUAAAUAUAGAUGAAUUGAAUCAUCAUCUUUUAUGAGUAU
rnacentral:lncRNA from 1 species